GCCCCUUUAGCUUAGUUGGCAGAGCGUACGCUUCGUAAGCGUAAGGUCGCGUGUUCGAACCACGCAGGGGGCA